rnacentral:tRNA from 1 species
GCGCGGUUAGCUCAAUUGGUAGAGCACUACCUUGACACAGUAGGGGUCACUGGUUCAAGUCCAGUACUGCGCACCA